UUUAAGGCUGUUAACCAGGUCAGAGGUAUGAGGAAAAGAAGGGCUUUUUUCUAAUCAGAGGAUGUUAAGCUUGUUGACUGGAAGCCUGCCUGCCAGAACAAGAUCCUUCUGCGCACACCAGAAACAAUCUGCUAUUGUCUCCAGGGAUAAAACGGUGCCAAUAAGAAAUGAAAACUCCCAGCCAAGAGGAGGCGUACCACAUUAACUGCUUCACCACUAAAGUGAAACAAGUUGCCAUUUCUGAGCUGCCCUAUGAAGAGACCCAUGUGGCAAGGGUGAAACAAUGAAGAACUGUGGCCAUCAGACCAACAGCCCGUGGAGAACUGAAUCCUGCCACCAGCCAUGGGAAUGAGUUUGGAAGCAGAUCCUCAUCAGUCGAGCAUGGAGAUAACUACAGCCCCUUCCAACACCUUGAAUGCAGCUAGUAAGAGCUGCUGAAGUAGAGGGCUCAACUAAGCUGCAUUUGAAUUUAUUACCUACAGAAACAGUGAGGUAAUAAAUGUUAUUGC